GGAACUGAAGCUCCAAGUGGAUACUUUGCAGUAGAUCACAGUCUAGAUUGAACCCAGGUCUCUCUGACUCCAGGACCCUUCUUCUUGCCAGUACACAUGACUACUCCCAUUGCACGAUUUGCACAGAGAGAGUGAUCCAGAGGCACCAGAAUACAAAAAUUAUCCAGGCAUGGUGGUGUGCACCUGUGGUCUCAGCUACUCAUGAGGCUGAGGUGGGAGGACCACCCGAGCCAGAAAGGUAGAGGCCACAGUGAGCCAUGAUUGCACUACUGCACUCCAGCCUGGGUGACAGAGUAAGACUCUUGCCUCAAAAAGAAAGAAGUGUGUUGAAAGCAGGUUUGGGGUGGGGCCCACGGAAGGUGCAGAUCUAACAAGUUCCGAGGUGAUGCUGUUGCUGCUGAUCUGGGGACACACUUGGCUGAUCUUGGGACCACUGCUCUAAAUUAACACGCACGACACCUCUUGACAACUAAUAGAAAAUGAAAC